rnacentral:rRNA from 1 species
GACGAACGCUGGCGGCGUGCUUAACACAUGCAAGUCGUACGGUAAGGCCCUUUCGGGGGUCCACGAGCGGCGAACGGGUGAGUAACACGUGAGUAACCUGCCCACAACUUUGGGAUAACGCUAGGAAACUGGUGCUAAUACUGGAUAUGUGCUCCUGCUGCAUGGUGGGGGUUGGAAAGCUCCGGCGGUUGUGGAUGGACUCGCGGCCUAUCAGCUUGUUGGUGGGGUAGUGGCCUACCAAGGCGGCGACGGGUAGCCGGCCUGAGAGGGUGACCGGCCACAUUGGGACUGAGAUACGGCCCAGACUCCUACGGGAGGCAGCAGUGGGGAAUAUUGCACAAUGGGCGCAAGCCUGAUGCAGCAACGCCGCGUGCGGGAUGACGGCCUUCGGGUUGUAAACCGCUUUCAGCAGGGACGAAGCUUUUUGUGACGGUACCUGCAGAAGAAGCACCGGCUAACUACGUG